ensembl:lncRNA
ACGCAGCUUUUGGGCCCACCAGGCAUGUACUCCAGCUCUGCCCAAUUGUAUUUGUCACCAUUGUGAUGCAGAUUAAGGAUUUAUUUAAUUUGUUUGUUGUUACCAGAGAACAUGUUGCCCUGCUCUCAAAAAAAAACAAAUGUUCAGUUCCAGUAUUUUGUUUGCCGAAUCUAUUUUCAAACCCUGUUUAUGCUUGUAAUUAAAUCUGCAUGUCAAAUGGAGGAACAUUGUUUUUUUGCAUUUUGUCUACCUGUUACAACCUACCCCAGUAGGUGUUAAGGUACGGCCACACCAAACGCGUUACCCGCGUACGACGCGUAUAAAAUCGGCAAUUUUUCCAUAGGGAACCAUUGGUUUACGCGCGUAUGAGCUGCGUAGAUGCGUUACAUGCGCUAAAACAACAUUUUAGCCGCGUAUGAGCUGCGUGUUUAUACGCACCUAACGUACAUACGCGCAGAGUUAAAAAAAUGGAACUUUUUACGCUCAUACGCAUGACGAUUAGCCGCGUUGCCCAAUCAGCGUUGAGCUUGACCCGACGUCACUGGCAGAGAGACGGAAAGGACAGAACAGAAAUGGAGGACCAAAAUCUCAUAGUCGCUGUGUGCAGCCGUCCUGUCCUGUACGACACCACGAUGGUGUCGUACAGGGACAGGAACAAAAAAGAGAGGGCAUGGGUCGACGUGGCCGAGGAUACUGGCGUUCCUGGGACGAAGAGGAAGAGAGCCAGGGUACCAGAGGGGAACACAAAUAUACAGACAGCCAUCCUCCAGGCCCUGCAGAGGCAAAAUGCGGUGCCUUCCCCUAUCCCGCUCUCUGGGAAUGAGCACUUUGUCAUGGGCCUAGUUCCUUCCCUGGAGAGAUUGCCACCUGACGUACUGGAGUACGUUAAAUUCCAAAUUCGUAAGGUCAUAUUUGACAAUUCUAAUUUCACCCUUAAUUUGGAACCUGUUUAAGCUUAUUAGCUAGUGGUGGUGACAAUCUCUCCAGGGAAAGAACUAGGCUGAUGUCACUGUUAACUGUUCAUUUGUUAUUGUUCUGUUAUGUUUAUAUUGUUCUUAUGUUAUUUUUAUUAUUUAUAUUUUUAUAAUUACUUUUGAAAUAAAAUAUUUCUCACAA